rnacentral:rRNA from 1 species
GGAUGAACGUUGGCGGCGUGCCUAAUACAUGCAAGUCGAACGAAGACUGUAGUAAUACUGUCUUAGUGGCGAACGGGUGAGUAACGCGUGGGUGACCUGCCCCGAAGUGUGGGAUAACAGUCCGAAAGGAUUGCUAAUACUGCAUAAUAUCCAAGAGAUUAGACGCUUUUGGAUUAAAGGAGUAAUUCGCUUCGGGAGGGGCCCGCGUCCCAUCAGCUAGUUGGUAAGGUAAUGGCUUACCAAGGCGAUGACGGGUAGGGGACCUGAGAGGGUGGCCCCCCACAAUGGAACUGAAACACGGUCCAUACACCUACGGGUGGCAGCAGUAGGGAAUAUUAGUAAUGGGCGAAAGCCUGAACUAGCAACGCCGCGUGUGCGAAGAAGGCCUUCGGGUUGUAAAGCACUUUUUGAGAGGAUGAGGAAGGACGGUACUCUCAGAAUAAGUCUCGGCUAACUACGUGCCAGCAGCCGCGGUAACACGUAGGAGGCAAACGUUAUCCGGAUUUACUGGGCGUAAAGCGCGUGUAGGUGGUUUGGUAAGUAGGGCGUGAAAGCUCCUGGCUCAACUGGGAGAGGACGUUCUAAACUGCCAAGCUUGAGGAUGGUAGAGGGAGGUGGAAUUCCGGGUGUAGCGGUGGAAUGCGCAGAUAUCCGGAGGAACACCAGUGGCGAAGGCGGCCUCCUGGACCACUCCUGACACUCAGACGCGAAAGCUAGGGUAGCAAACGGGAUUAGAGACCCCGGUAGUCCUAGCCCUAAACGAUGUAGACUUGGCGUCGGUGGUUUAAUCGCCAUCGGUGUCGUAGCUAACGCGUUAAGUCUACCGCCUGGGGACUACGGCCGCAAGGUUAAAACUCAAAGGAAUUGACGGGUCCCCGCACAAGCAGCGGAGCGUGUGGUUUAAUUCGAUGCUACACGAAGAACCUUACCUGGGUUUGACAUAGAGGUAGUAGGGAAGCGAAAGCGGACCGACCCUUCGGGGAGCCUCUACAGGUGUUGCAUGGCUGUCGUCAGCUCGUGUCGUGAGAUGUUCGGUUAAGUCCGCUAACGAGCGCAACCCUCGCUGUGUGUUACAAGUGUCACACGGUACUGCCGAUAUUAAGUCGGAGGAAGGUGGGGAUGACGUCAAAUCAGCACGGCCCUUACAUCCGGGGCGACACACGUGUUACAAUGGUAAGGACAAAGGGCAGCUACCGGGCGACCGGAUGCGAAUCUCUAAACCUUAUCUCAGUUCGGAUCGGAGUCUGCAACUCGACUCCGUGAAGCUGGAUUCGCUAGUAAUCGCGCAUCAGCCAUGGCGCGGUGAAUACGUUCCCGGGCCU